CGGUAAAGAUGUAUAUCCAACAGACUUUCAGCCCAACAAACCUACAGACAACCGGUGGUCACAGUCUGAAUAUGGCCACCAGAGCUCAGCUACCCUCCCUGAUAACAUUCAUUUAGGGACCAUCUCUCCACAACUCUCUCCUCCUCCUCGAGCUUCAGACGUUCCAAAAUUAGCAGCUCUCUCUCCUCCAGCUUCUGUCUGGCAUCUGCAAGCUGCCGAACUCUCUCCAACUUUCUCUCUUCCUCCAGACGAAUGUGUUCUCUCUCUGCUUUGAUACUUCAGUGAAGACAGACACGUUUGAGAGAUUUUCACUGAGGCUGAAUCGUCACUUGUGUUUCCUGUGCUGCUUGUUCUCCUUCACUCGUUCUCUCUCAAUGUUCAUGAACUGACGGCGAUGCAUCAGGAACUGAGACUGACGCUGCAAAAGAGAUAUGCGAUCUUUAACAUCUGGUUUGACAGAGUUUCAACAAAUAAAGUCAAAGCUUUAUGAGGA